UUUUCCUUUCCUGCUCUUUAGAGUUGACCAGCUUUGCCAGAGAGGCUUUUGGCUGAUUCACUAGAGGAAGGAGCACCAGCAAUAAAUCUUUUCAUUUAAUCCCCUGUUGUUUUAUGAUGAGAGCUAAACAGUUUCUCACCUGGGGAGGAACUCACAGAAGGCAGCUCGGCUACUGAAGUGACUUAGACUAAGACAGCAGAGAAACCCCAGGGGUGCGUAGGUCCUUCUCCUCCAUCUGGUCCAGCAUCUCAUCACAGAAGAGGAAGAACAAACAGAGGAGAAGGUGUACCUGAUCCCAUGCUUCCUAGGAGAGAAAAGGACUUCCCUCAAAACCAUGUGACAGGACCGCGGGAGCCCACUGGGAGUGGAGUUCGAAUAAGCCUGUGGAAUGCAGAAGGAGGGGAGUUCAUAACCAAAAGUGAGGAAGACCCGGCAGCCUCAGAGAGACCAAACAGUGACUAAUCAUCACGCCAGUGGCCAUGGCCUUGUCCAUCCAUCUCUGUCCUUACCUCGCUGUGGACCAUCACCAAGUCACCCUGCCCCUCUGUGUCUCUUUAGUCGCCUCAGGUCAAGUUGAAGGGGUAUGAAUUGAUAAAGGGUGGCAAGGGCAGAAGCUGGGGUUAUUGACAAAGAGAGCACUAGGGUGCUAAUCCUGCUGUUGUCUUUGCUGAACUAUUGUGUGUAAAGACUUCUUAUGCCUGUGGCGUCCAUGGAGUUGACUCAAGAACAUCAGGGGAGAGCCAAUGAACAGUGCUCCUCCACGACCUCUGCUUCAGUUCCUGCCUCCAGCUUCCUGCCUUGCUUCGAGUUCUUUUCCUGACUUCCUCCAGUGAAGGACUUUGAUGUGGAAGGGGACAGACCUUCUCAGGCUUUAAGAGGCACAAUCUCUGGGCCAUAAAAGUCAACAGUUCACGGGGNAG
rnacentral:sRNA from 1 species